GCGCCGCGUCCCGCCUGUCCCACCGCGGCCGCGGCACUGGCGGGGAUGGAGCUGCCGACAGGAAUGAGAUACUCGCUUCGAGGAACACCUAAAUCUUCCAAAGGAGAGGCAUUUAUGGCUUCUUAUCAGAAGAAACUAAUUCCUUCAGGCCUUGCUCAGACUCGAAGACGCCAUGGGGAUUAGAGGAAAUAGUUGACAUACAACAGACAGAGUUCUUGUUUAAAAUAGAAUGUAUGCAUAACCAUGAAGGAUAUAUGAAUAUGCAACAGGCUAUUGUUUUUAAGGUUAUUCCUUUUUUCACAAGUCAUGUUUUUUGUGACUUAGUGUCUGAGAGCAUCCGGACGUCCGUAAUUCUUUGCUUUUUAUUGUCUUGUAAUUGUCCUAACUCUAAACUUUAUUACUCUAAUUGUAUUACUAUUUUUAUGACCAUUUUAUUAUUAUUAUUAAACUUUUAAAAUUUUAAAAACCAAGUGAUUGGCGUUUUUCACACUCAGAGUCAUCCCUGAGCACGUGGCACAGGGUUGUGUCCAGGCGGUUCUUGAAUAUCUUGAAUAUCCCCAGGGAUAUUCAGGAUAUUCAGUCAGGGAAACUCCACACGCUCUCUGGUCAACCUGUUCCAGUGCUCGGUCACCUGCACAGUAAAGGUCUUCCUCAUGUUCAGGUAGAAUUUCCUGUACAUCAGUUUCUGGCUGUUGCUUCUCAUCCUAUUGUUUGGCACCUCUAAGAAGAGCCUGACUUCAUCCUCUUCACACCUUCGCUUCAGAUACUUUUGGGCAUUUCCCACAAUAUUUACAGGGCAACAAGAGUCCAGUGCACAAUGCAUAAAAUGGAUGAUUUUUCUUGCAAGACCCAGAUGUGCAACUCCUCUCUGCAGGGUAUUCUGGAUGCUAGAAGCUUUUAUGAGUUCACAAGAAGACAGAUAAUGGAAAUGCAGAGACUUGUGAAAUACACUAUGGUGCUCAUGAAGAUAUAGAAGCUAAAUGUUGACAGCAUAAUUCAUUAACAAGCUGGAAAGUGAUCAAAAACUAGAUGUAUUGCUGGCAGCACAUUGUCUUCAGAUUUGCAUUUAAACCAUUCUUAAAGUCUACCUGACCUUAACUAUAAUUCUUCAUCAAAAGCUAUUGUCUGUGCUUAAGCUUACACCGUGGGAUGAUGUUCAGUGCUAGCUGAAGUUUUUUAUCCAUAGUAGUAUCCCUAUGGGCAAAUACGUGCUGUAUUUCUCUUGUUCACUGAUGUGUAUUUCUAAAAGUUACAUUACAUGCCUUUGUCUUCCAUUCUGCCUUAAAAGAGCUGUGUGGGUGUAGUAGGGCAAGUAAAAGUACGAAACCAUCACAACAUGUGUGCUGGUGGUGAUAAGUGAGAGAAAGACUCUAAAUGGAGCUUGAUGUGAUGUGUGUGCCAGCACCUUUAAUGUUGUACUGUCACAUAAAAAAAAAAAAAAAAAAAAAAAAAAGGGGAAUUUCUAAAGCAAUUUGAAAUUGACAGAGCUUUUUGCUGAAUUAGACUGGUAAUACUUUUUCAUUGGAGUGAACUAUUCUGUAAUGCACAAGGUAAAAAGCAUAUGGACUUUGUCCAUAAGGAUGUGCUGGAAAUCAAUGUUGAAGGCAGUUGACAAAAUGCAAACACGAACCUGUGCAUUCUAACACUGGUCAGAAGUAUGGAAAUGCAUCUUGUGAGGCAACUGAUGUUACUAAAAUCCCCCAAAAUGUGGGACCACUUGUCUCCUUUUUGGCACUUGAUUCUUGAAUGUUUGCAGUGUGUCAUUUUGCCACGGGGUGUCUCUAAAAACCUACUGUGAGAUGUUGCAGUCUGUGUUUUUCUAGUCAAAAACUGUUUUCAUAGUUAGAACCAUAAUUUGCUAAAAAAUUUAGAGUGUGCAGAAUACUAGGUGGACAGAUAAAAAUGUCAUGGGUCUGUUUCUGAUAAGCUGAAGGAUGAACUACACAUACAACAAUAAAUGCCUUCCUAUUGUUGAAGACAAAUCCAGCAAGAUAAUUAGAAAUAGUCUGACAACAAGCAAAAAGUAUGAAUUUGUAAAUUAUUUAUCUUUUCUGUACUGGACAUUUAAAAUUUUUUAUGUCCCAACUACUAUUGUAUAAAUCACAUAGCUGUAAAAUACACCAAAUAUUAUUUUCACUUUUGAAAACAAUCCUGUAUAUGAAUCUGAUUUCUUUUUUGAUCAACAGAGCAUUGUUUGAUAUUCAAAAAGCAAUGCAACUGCUCUGCAAAACAUUAACCAGCAUUAAGAUAUAAAAAAGAAUUCACCAUAUGUCCCUUAGAGGAUACCUUAGACAUACUAGAACAAAACCAAUUAAAAUGUAGAACUAUUAAAAAUGUAGAACCAUACUAGAACAAAACCAAUUAAAUCAUUUCACUCCUAAAAUGAAUUUUCGUUAAUAAUUUUGUUAAAGUUGUGAAAACAUGAGAUGUCCUUUUCACAUUUUUGUUUUGGAGAUAAACAUGAUAAUACAGAGUCUCUGCUUCCACCAUGCCAAAAUCUGAAAGUAAGAUUUACAAGAAAUCCAGGAUGGGGAAAGGGAAAAGAAAAAGACUUGUUUCUCUAGCUCUGUUUGUGGAAAUUAAAAUCUUCCAAUUUAUUUUGUGGCUUUAGGUGGGGAUUGUAUUUCAGAGGUAUUAUUCACUCCUAAUGUCUGAAAAGGCAAGCUGUAUCCGUGAGUGCUUAAUCAUGGCUGCUUGCCAAAAACCCUGUUAGUCACCCUGCACUGUCUCCAGAAUAUAAAACCUGUGCUAGUGGCUAGCAGGGAAGAGAGGACAUUUUGUCUGGUUUCUCUGACUCUGGGACUACCUAAAGCAGCCUCUUACAAAGGCUGUUUGUAUCCUUGCCAUGAGCAGGCAAUAGGAGUCACGGGGCUCACAUGGCCUUCUUAACCUUUUUGCAUCACUUUCUUCAAAGGCACCAGUCUGCUUGGCUCUGUCUGUGCUAUUCCAAGAAGAAGAUAUGUGCAGCCAGAGGUACUGUAAAUAAGAACUCCUAUCUUGGGAUAUAAGGACACAUAAGAAGCAAUUUCUCUGAAAGUACUUUGUUGGUGGAAUGAAGAAAAACUUAAUUAGCCUUGUAAUACUCUGAUGUUUUAACUUCAUGAUGUCUGUAAACCAGUAAUAUGUUAGUCCUGGCAUUAAAAAUCAGGAGUGAGUUCAGACUGGAGUUUAUCAUAUGAGUGAAGCUUAUGUUUGACACUGUCAAGGAACAAGUAUAGUGCAAAGAAUAAUAUUUAUUCUGGAUGAUACAGCUUGCACAUAGGCUUACAAAUAGAUACAUAAAUUAGAUGGGUUUGGAUAGAAGAUAAGGUUUAAUUAAAGGAAGCUAUUU
rnacentral:lncRNA from 1 species